GAAGUAAUAUGUUAUAGUCAAUAGCAGUCUGACCUUGAAAUCAGGAAGUUUUAGGUUCAAAUCCUGAUUUUUUUG
rnacentral:tRNA from 1 species